AUUGAACGCUGGCGGCAUGCCUUACACAUGCAAGUCGAACGGCAGCACGGGUGCUUGCACCUGGUGGCGAGUGGCGAACGGGUGAGUAAUACAUCGGAACGUACCUUAUCGUGGGGGAUAACGCAGCGAAAGCUGUGCUAAUACCGCAUACGCCCUGAGGGGGAAAGCGGGGGAUCGAAAGACCUCGCGCGAUUAGAGCGGCCGAUGCCUGAUUAGCUUGUUGGUGGGGUAAAAGCCCACCAAGGCGACGAUCAGUAGCUGGUCUGAGAGGACGAUCAGCCACACUGGGAAUCAGACACGGCCCAGACUCCUACGGGAGGCAGCAGUGGGGAAUUUUGGACAAUGGGGGCAACCCUGAUCCAGCAAUGCCGCGUGAGUGAAGAAGGCCUUCGGGUUGUAAAGCUCUUUUGUCAGGGAAGAAACACCGGCUCUAACACAGUCCGGGAAUGACGGUACCUGAAGGAUAAGCACCGGCUAACUACGUGCCAGCAGCCGCGGUAA
rnacentral:rRNA from 1 species